AAAUAAAAAUUUUGUAGUUUAUAAAAUUUAUUUAAAGUUUAUUUUACAUAUAAAUUUUAGUGUUAAAUAUAAAUUUAUUUUAAUAAUAAUUUUUAUGAAAAUUUAGUAAUUAAUAUUAAAUUAUUUAAGAAAUUAAUAUUUAGUAAUAUUUAAAUUAAUAACAAAUUUUGUGCCAGCAGUUGCGGUUAAACAAAGAUUAAAUUAAAUUUUAUUAGUUAAAUUAAUUAAUAUAAUACAAUAAUAAAUAAUAUAAAUUUUAAAUUAUUAGGUGAAAUUUUAAUUUAAUAAAAUAUUAUUGAAAUUUUAUGAUUUAAUAAAUUUUUAUAGAGACUAGGAUUAGAUACCCUAUUAUUAAAAUUUUAAAUAAAAAUACUAAAAUAGUAAUUAAUUAUUUAUUGAAACUUAAAUAAUUUGGCGGUAUUUUAGUUCAUUUAGAGGAAUCUGUUUAAUAAUUGAUAAUCCACGAAUAAAUUUACUUAAUUUAUAAUUUUGUAUAUCGUUGUUAAAAAAAUAUUUUUUAAUAAUUUAAUAAUAUUUAAAAAUUUAAAUAAAAAAUUAAAUCAGAUCAAGAUGCAGAUUAUAAUUAAGAAUAUAAUGGAUUACAAUAAAUUUAUUUAAAUGAAUAUUAAUUUGUAAAUAAUUAAUUGAAAUUGGAUUUAAAUGUAAUUUUAUUUAAUUUAAUAAAAUGAUUAAAAAUUGAAAUAUGUACAUAUUGCCCGUCGCUUUCAUAUAUAAAUAAAUUGAAAUAAGUCGUAACAAAGUAGAGGUACUGGAAAGUGUUUCUAGAAAG
rnacentral:ncRNA from 1 species